GCCGGAGUGGUGGAACUGGUAUACACACAGCACUCAAAAUGCUGCGGCGAAAGCCAUGCGAGUUCGAGUCUCGCCUCCGGCACCA
rnacentral:tRNA from 1 species